GCCAGACCCAAUACUGGCCGUUUUCAGCAGCUGACAUUUACAAUUGGAAACAACACAACCCUUCUUUCUCCAAAGAUCCGGUGGCACUCACCGACCUAAUAGAAUCUGUUUUACUUACCCACCAGCCUACUUGGGAUGACUGCCAACAGGUCUUACAGGCCCUCUUAACCUCAGAAAAAAAACAAUGAGUGUUCCUAGAGGCCAGAAAGCAUGUUCUGGGAGAUGAUGGGCGUCCCACCCAGCUGCCUAAAAAAAUUGAUGCU
rnacentral:lncRNA from 1 species